rnacentral:rRNA from 1 species
UACGAAGGGGGCUAGCGUUGCUCGGAAUCACUGGGCGUAAAGGGUGCGUAGGCGGGUCUUUAAGUCAGGGGUGAAAUCCUGGAGCUCAACUCCAGAACUGCCUUUGAUACUGAGGAUCUUGAGUUCGGGAGAGGGAUGCGGAAUUCCAGGUGUAGCGGUGAAAUGCGUAGAUAUCCGGAGGAACACCGGUGGCGAAGGCGGCUUCCUGGACCGACACUGACGCUGAGGCGCGAAAGCUAGGGGAGCAAACGGG